GAUGAACGCUGCCAGCAUGCUUAACACAUCAGCAAUUGAUUGGUGGCUGACGGGUGAGUAACGCGUAAAGAACUUACCUCACAGUUAGGGACAACAUUUGGAAACGAAUGCUAAUACCUAAUACUGUGAGAGAGCUUUGCGUCCCAUUAGCUCGGUGGAGAGGUACCGGCUCACCAAGGCGAGGAUGGGUAGCCGGCCUGAGAGGGUGAGCGGCAACAAGGGGAAUGAGACACGGCGCUUACUCAGACGGGAGGAAGAAGUGGGGAAUAUGGGACAAGGGACCAAAGUGUGAUCCAGCAAUUCUGUGUGAACGAUGAAGUUUUCGGAAUGUAAAGUGCUGGGAGUUGGGAAGCGGUACCAACAGAAGAAGUGACGGCUAAAUACGUGCCAGCAGCCGCGGUAAGAC
rnacentral:rRNA from 1 species